GCGCCCAUAGCUCAGUUGGUAGAGCAUCGGACUCUUAAUCCGUUGGUCCCAGGUUCGAGUCCUGGUGGGCGCA
rnacentral:tRNA from 2 species